GUCGAACGGAGUUGAGAGGAGCUUGCUUUUCUUGACUUAGUGGCGAACCGGUGAGUAACGCGUGAGUAACCUGCCCUGGAGUGGGGGACAACAGUUGGAAACGACUGCUAAUACCGCAUAAGCCCACGGAUUCGCAUGGAUCUGCGGGAAAAGGAUUUAUUCGCUUCAGGAUGGACUCGCGUCCAAUUAGCUAGUUGGUGAGGUAACGGCCCACCAAGGCGACGAUUGGUAGCCGGACUGAGAGGUUGAACGGCCACAUUGGGACUGAGACACGGCCCAGACUCCUACGGGAGGCAGCAGUGGGGGAUAUUGCACAAUGGGGGAAACCUUGAUGCAGCGACGCCGCGUGGAGGAAGAAGGUUUUCGGAUUGUAAACUCCUGUCGUUAGGGACGAUAAUGACGGUACCUAACAAGAAAGCACCGGCUAACUACGUGCCAGCAGCCGCGGUAAAACGUAGGGUGCAAGCGUUGUCCGGAAUUACUGGGUGUAAAGGGAGCGCAGGCGGACCGGCAAGUUGGAAGUGAAAACUAUGGGCUCAACCCAUAAAUUGCUUUCAAAACUGCUGGCCUUGAGUAGUGCAGAGGUAGGUGGAAUUCCCGGUGUAGCGGUGGAAUGCGUAGAUAUCGGGAGGAACACCAGUGGCGAAGGCGGCCUACUGGGCACCAACUGACGCUGAGGCUCGAAAGUGUGGGUAGCAAACA
rnacentral:rRNA from 1 species